rnacentral:rRNA from 1 species
GACAAACGCUAGCGGCGUGUAUUAGGCAUGCAAGUCGCACGGUCACCUUCGGGUGGCAGUGGCGGACGGGUGAGUAACACGUGGGUAACCUGCCUCGCAGUGGGGAAUAACUCGCCGAAAGGCGAGCUAAUACCGCAUACCACUCCCGGUGAGACUCCGGGCAGUAAAAGUAGCAAUGCGCUGUGAGAGGGGCCCGCGGCCGAUUAGCUUGUUGGUGGGGUAAUGGCCUACCAAGGCGACGAUCGGUAGCUGGUCUGAGAGGAUGGUCAGCCACACGGGGACUGAGAUACGGCCCCGACUCCUACGGGAGGC